rnacentral:pre_miRNA from 1 species
AAAAAGUCAAACCUUGGGUUUCCGUGUCCAACGUUUGACUGUCCGUAUUAUAUGAAAAAUUUUUUAUAAUUAGCAUCUUCAUUGUUGUUAGAUGAUAAAAUAUGAUUAAUACUUUAUACGUGACUUGUCUUUUUAUUUUUUUUCAUACUUUUUUAAAUAAAAUGGACGGUCAAAUGUUGGUCAUGAAAAUGGGUUCAUUUUUU